rnacentral:SRP_RNA from 1 species
GCAAGGCAUACCUAGAAUCCCUACUAUUGAGGUUGCUGAGGCUGGAGGAUCACUUGAGCUCAGAAGUUCUGAGUUGCAGGGAUUAGGCGUCCACACUAACUCUGUCACCAAUAUGGUGAACCCUGAGGAGUGGGAACCAUCAGCUUUCCUAGGGAGGAGCAAACUGGCCUAGGAUGUAAACAGAGAAGGUCAAAGUUCCUGUGCUGAUCAACAGUGGGAUAGGACCUGUGCGUGGCUGCUGCACUUCCAGCUUCAGCUGGAGAUUUCACCUCA